UCCCUGGUGGUCCAGUGGUUAGGAUUCUGCACUUUCAACGCUGAGGGCCCAGGUUCAAUCUCUGGUCAGGGAA